AUGCAUUUAUGGAAACAUUGUUGGGGUUCAGGGUCCAAAAAAGUGAAAAAGAAAUGGAGAGGUUUGUGAAGGUGUUGGAAGCUUUGAGUUUCCCUCUGCCAUUGAUGAGUUCUUGCAUAAUGAUCCACCAAUAGAUGAGGUCUAUCAUCGGGAUCCGGAUAGGUGCAGUAUAAAGCCAAGUUAAGAAGUCCCUCUACUACCUCUUGGUUCUCGGAGACAUGUGAAGCUAAAUUCGGAUCCACAAUCUGGACCAGAUUGUUUAUGCCAUUAGCAAGGGCAUUCUGAACAAUUUGAUUCAAAGUCAUUGGGAAAGGAAAUCUGCUAAGCUGUGUAUUAUGAUUUACAGAAGUGAUGUUGUAAUAAUUAUUACCUGGCGCCAUGUAACCAAUAGUUCCUUCAAAUGUAGAUGCUGAUGAUAUGCUGCUCCCGUCUUGAUGAUGAAUGCCCAACAUCCUAGCUGUCCCAAAGUCACUCACAUGUGCUUCCAUAUUUUUAUCCAGAAGAAUAUUUGAAGGCUUCAAGUCACAGUGCACUAUUGGAAAAUCAUAUCCUGAAUGCAGAUGACACAAAAAUAUUCCCACCACAUGAAGAAUGAGAACCAAAACAGGCCCAAGUAUGAUCCAGGUUUUCUUGGACAACCCAUGAGAACUUGUUUGGUUUCUUUUGAUGCUGCAUGGACUGAGAAA